CGGGGCGUGGCUCAGCUUGGUAGAGCGGCCGUUUCGGGUGCGGCAGGUCGUAGGUUCAAAUCCUAUCGCCCCGACCA
rnacentral:tRNA from 1 species